UGAGUAACCUGCCCUUAACUCUGGGAUAAGCCUGGGAAACUGGGUCUAAUACCGGAUAUGACUCCUCAUCGCAUGGUGGUGGGUGGAAAGCUUUAUUGUGGUUUUGGAUGGACUCGCGGCCUAUCAGCUUGUUGGUGAGGUAAUGGCUCACCAAGGCGACGACGGGUAGCCGGCCUGAGAGGGUGACCGGCCACACUGGGACUGAGACACGGCCCAGACUCCUACGGGAGGCAG
rnacentral:rRNA from 1 species